rnacentral:rRNA from 1 species
UACGAAGGGGGCUAGCGUUGCUCGGAUUGACUGGGCGUAAAGGGCGCGUAGGCGGUUCGUACAGUCAGACGUGAAAUUCCUGGGCCCAACCUGGGGGCUGCGUUUGAUACGUGCGGACUUGAGUGCGGAAGAGGGUCGUGGAAUUCCCAGUGUAGAGGUGAAAUUCGUAGAUAUUGGGAAGAACACCGGUGGCGAAGGCGGCGAGCUGGUCCAUUACUGACGCUGAGGCGCGACAGCGUGGGGAGCAAACAGG